UUUUUUUUUAGAUAAAAUUGUUAUUUUAAUAGAAGGGGCCCAAGAAGGCAAAAGUGCCCAGGGCCCAAGAAUAUAAUGCAGCCGCGGAUGUACAGAGCAGACAACUCUUACAAAUUGCUUUUGUUUGUGUACUUUUUUAAAAAACUAACACCUAGACACAGUUCAGUUGCUUUCCAUGUGUUUAUGUCUCACAACACACAUGUGCACUGUUAUCCCAGUUUUACUCACGAGUAUACCAAGUGAAGCUUAAAAUAACUUGCCAAUGUCGUACAGUUAAAUGACAGGGCAGUCUGACCCAGUCAGGUUGUCUCCAGAGGUGUCAAUUUUUAACCAUUGAAAACAGGCAUUAUCUCAUAUCUACAGCAUUGAUUUAGCAACAGGACAAAAAAGCAAAAAUAUUCGCAAGACAGUGAGAUUUCCAGUUUUCUCUCUGCCUCUCCCUCUUCCCUCAGUAGUAGUGUGGCACAGGUGUUCCUUUCUCCAUAUGGCAGGUACACACACCACUCGUCUAUCUCUUCAUCUUAAGGAAUGCUUGUCUUCUAGCUCAUUGGCACACCAUAUACGUGAAAGAAACCCUCCUUUUCCACACUGACGGUACUCACCUACUUGAGGAGUCAACCAGAUAACCUUUUGCUAACUGUGUGACGUAAGCUUAGGAUAUUUUAACAUUCAUACCCCUGGCGUAUUUCCAAAUAUGCCGAAACCAAGACUCAACUAUCUAUACACAAUUAGAAAAUGUCAGUAAAAAGGCUUCCAGAAAACAAACAAAAAAAGAAAUGCCUGACUGUUCUUUCUAUAUCUGGACCAAGGCCAUAUGGUUUAAUUACCGUAAGUAUAUAUGUGUUCACAUGAACUAAGAACUGCCUCUCUUCCUUACUUUUUUGCCAAAUGCUUUAUCAAAUAUCCCAUAGAGUAUUUUGACAUAACAUGCAAUGUUUAGAUUAUUUUAGAGUGUAUGAACAUGUUAGCAGUUGAGUUCUCAAAAAACAUAAACAUAGUUAAGUAUAUCUGUUCCUGUAAGUGGAUUCCUUGGUACACUUCAGUAAACUUUAAGUUUUAUUUACAUAUGU
rnacentral:lncRNA from 1 species